ensembl:misc_RNA Metazoa_SRP Metazoan signal recognition particle RNA
GCCGGGCACAAUGGUGUGUGCCUGUAGUCCCAGCUACUCAGGAGGCUGAGGUGGGAGGAUCGCUUGAACCCAGGAAUUCUUGGCUGUAGUGCCCUAUGCCGAUCGGGUGUCCAUCCGCACUAAGUUCAGCAUCAAUAUGGUGACCUCCCGGGAGUGGGGGACCACCAGGUUGCCUAAGGACGGGUGAACCGGCCCAGGUCAGAAACGGAGCAGGUCAAAACUCCCAUGCUGAUCAGUAGUGAGAUCACGCCUGUGAAUAGCCACCGCACUCCAGCCUGGGCAACAUAGCAAGACCCCGUCUCUA